AUGCUCACUUCAGCAGCACAUACACUAAACUGGAAUGAUACACACAUUAGCAUGGCCCCUGAGCAAGCAUGACGUGCAAAUUCUUGAAAUGUUCCAUAUUUUA